AGGACUCUGCCCACCCCCUGUUCAGACCCAUUCUCCAGCCCCAAGCAGGGAUUCCACACUGUAGGAGGAGAGAUUGAUGACCCAGAGGGCAAGAAAAGAAAGUGUUUCAGAAGACUCUCAAAAUGCUCUGCCCUGAAAACGAGGGGUUAUGAUGGAAUAGAUUCAGUGCCUGGCUCAUUGUGGGAUAUCAACAAAGAGCUGAAGAAGGAAGGAAAGAAGAAAGAAAGGGGAACAGACAAGAGAUAGGGACACAGGGAAAGAGGAACUCAGCAACAAUAUAAUUUUCCCAAAUUUAUCAGCAAAAGAGCACCUGGAGUUUGGAGUCUGGAGAUUAUCGUUCACCUACCACACGUAGGUUGCCCACUUAAUCCACCUGAGCCUCUUUUUACGAAUCCAAAGGCAGAAUAUUUCCAACACAGAUUUGGUAAUAAACUGGGUGCUCUGACAUAUGGUUAGCAGUAUUGUGAAUUGGUACAUCUCACUGGAAAAGCAAUUUAUCAGUACAAAUCAAGAGUAUACAAAAAUAUGCACACUUUUGACUGAGUUCUGAGUUUCUGUUCUACAAAAUAAUUCCCAUAUAUUAAAAAAAAAAACACUUGUACAAAUAUUAAAAUAGCCUGAGUCCCUGAUGACAUUGUGGUCUCUGAACUGUUUUAUAUGGGAG
rnacentral:lncRNA from 1 species